AACAAAGUUAAGCUUGAAGACAUCAGUCCAAGGAAUAUCAGUUAAUGCUACAAUCUGGAAAAAAAGGAAGCAAAAGAGUACCUAAACAGUUUAGCCAUAAAUAUAUGAUCUUUAUUUAAGAUUGGAAUAAAUACAAUCUAUAUCUCUCUUUGAUAUGCUAAGAAGAGGAAAUUCCAUAACCAUAAGACAUCGAAAACAGGGAGUAACAAAGUGGAUAUAAUUGGCUAGGUAUUACAUUUAAAAAAUGAACAAGACCCUCUGCUUGUUGUUGCUUGCAUACUCACCAAGGCAAACUACAAAAUUAGCAAACUAGUAAAACCGUGCAAAGCAUCAUGACAUGCAUGAUUAGAGGAAAAAUUUGCACAAACAGUCAAGUUAAAACCCUAAACUAAUAACAUGAUAUAGAGGAGUGUUUUUGAAGACAUUGAUUGCUAGAGCAGUUCUACAUUUGCAAGGAAACAAUUGAGUCUAAACAGAAC
rnacentral:lncRNA from 1 species